CAGUAGCCGCGGUAAUACGGAGGGAGCUAGCGUUAUUCGGAAUUACUGGGCGUAAAGCGCACGUAGGCGGCUUGGUAAGUUAGAGGUGAAAGCCUGGAGCUCAACUCCAGAAUUGCCUUUAAGACUGCCGAGCUAGUAGGUGAGAGAGGUAAGUGGAAUUCCGAGUGUAGAGGUGAAAUUCGUAGAUAUUCGGAAGAACACCAGUGGCGAAGGCGGCUUACUGGCUCAUUCUAGACGCUGAGGUGCGAAAGCGUGGGGAGCAAACAGGAUUAGAUACCCCAGUAGUCCCUGUCUCUUAUAC
rnacentral:rRNA from 1 species